GAUGAACGCUGGCGGCGUGCCUAAUACAUGCAAGUCGAGCGAACAGACGAGGAGCUUGCUCCUCUGACGUUAGCGGCGGACGGGUGAGUAACACGUGGAUAACCUACCUAUAAGACUGGGAUAACUUCGGGACACCGGAGCUAAUACCGGAUAAUAUAUUGAACCGCAUGGUUCAAUAGUGAAAGACGGUUUUGCUGUCACUUAUAGAUGGAUCCGCGCCGCAUUAGCUAGUUGGUAAGGUAACGGCUUACCAAGGCAACGAUGCGUAGCCGACCUGAGAGGGUGAUCGGCCACACUAGAACUUAGACACGGUCCAGACUCCUACGGGACGCAGCAGUAGGGAAUCUUCCGCAGUGGGCGAAAGCCUGACGGAGCAACGCCGCGUGAGUGAUGAAGGUCUUCGGAUCGUAAAACUCUGUUAUUAGGGAAGAACAAAUGUGUAAGUAACUAUGCACGUCUUGACGGUACCUAAUCAGAAAGCCACGGCUAACUACGUG
rnacentral:rRNA from 1 species